rnacentral:rRNA from 1 species
UCGGCAAUUUUGUGCAAUGGGCGAAAGCCUGACACAGCAACGCCGCGUGAAGGAUGAAGUCCCUCGGGAUGUAAACUUCGUAAGAAUAGGAAGAAUAAAUGACGGUACUAUUUGUAAGGUCCGGCUAACUACGUGCCAGCAGCCGCGGUAAUACGUAGGGACCAAGCGUUGUUCGGAUUUACUGGGCGUAAAGGGUGCGUAGGCGGCAUAUCAAGUCACUUGUGAAAUCUCCGGGCUUAACUCGGAACUGCCAAGUGAUACUGAUGUGCUAGAGUGCAGAAAGGGCAACUGGAAUUCUUGGUGUAGCGGUGAAAUGCGUAGAUAUCAAGAGGAACACCUGAGGCGAAGGCGAGUUGCUAGGCUGACACUGACGCUGAGGUACGAAAGCUAGGGGAGCGAACGGGAUUAGAUACCCAAGUAGUCCCUGAGCGGGCUGGCAAGGCGCAU